GCCAGUGUGGCGUAGUGGUUUGAGUGUUAGACUAAGACUCUGGAGACCAGGGUUUGAAUCCCCCCUCAGCCA